AAAUUAAUACUCGUCACACUGUUGUAGCAGACAUACUCCCCGCAUCCUGAGGUGACACAGUGACUCCCCCCCACGGCUUGAUAAACUGCAUUCUUCCAAGUGGCCCUGCUGUGAGACUACCAUAAGAAGACUCCUACUGGACCCUAAAGUCAUUAGCAGGUCCCCUCGAAAUCUUGGCUUGCAGUCAGCAAAGAGUCCUUGUCUUCGUUUGAACUGACAGCAAUCCCAAAGGGACUGAUAGACGAUGGAAUGCAAAUACAGCAACUAUUUGCUUAAUAUUCAAAUGUGCACGCAAGGCGCCACCCGCUGGCGUUGAGAGGGACUGCAAAGCCGACCCGUGAACUCGCAUUUGAUGUUUAACCAAAGGAAAAUUUCUGUUUUGAUAUUUUACCAACCCUGCCGAAUUAUUCCAACUGUACGCUUUGAUGUCCGUCAGUGUGCCAACUUUACAAGUGCAGCUGUGAGAUUUUAAGAACUGUUUGUCUUGAUUUGACUCCAAGCAGCAUGAAAUUUGAUUUGAACCAUAAGCAGUUAAUUUGUCAAGACUAAAGUAUAAACAGCCAGUCUAUAUGCUUGACCUGUGAGUAGAGUACAAAGUUGGGAUAUAUUAUAUUAAUAUAUGAUUUUAAACCCAUUUUAUGGGUCAGAAUUGUAGACUAGAUUCAAGCUGAUGGGUGUGGUCUUGUCUGGUCCUCGGUAGUCUUCGACACGCCCCCGGGGUAUUUAACUCCUGACUCCCGCCUUCUUGCUUUCUCUUGUGUUUUUUCUCUCUUGGUGUACCGGCUGGCUAACCUCGCCAGCCACGGGCUGGCCUCGGCCACACCUCCCCCCUCUCCUUUCUUUGUUAGGGCACGCGGCUCGAUAACCGCGGGCCUUGGGGAUGGAGACUCGGCUUCCCAGCCUCUCCGUGGGCCACCGCUAGGUGAUCAGAGCAGCUGCUACUAAAGUACCAGGUAUGCUUCCAGCCAAGCGUGAUCGCUCUGAAAUUGCUAGCGAGUCCCUGAAAAGGAAGGAAGAGAGACGGUCAUAUUCUCCCAACGAGGCGUGACGAACAACAAUUUGUCUGCUUCCGCCUCUUUUGUUUUUGUUUCAUUUUUCUGCAUCCUUUUCUCAUUCAACCAAACCUGUCUCCGUGCUUCCCGAGAUGACUGAGACAGUCCACCCCAUCUACCAGCUGAUCUACGUUUCACCUUCCUCGGCCGCGCACCUGUGAUCAAUCAGCCCUCGUUACCACCUGCAUAAAAGCCUCUCAGAUCUCGGAAACUCUCACCAGAGUAUUGAAGCUUCUCCAGCGUGUUCCCUCCAUGUCCCUCACCAAGCCAGCCGCCUGUCCUCGUCACUGCCUGCCACGCAUUGUCUGCCUCAACAACCCACCAGCCCAUCUCAAGGACCAUCUACAUUUCCAUUUUCAAUAAACUGUUCAUCACAACCUCUCAGCCUCCGCCUGCUCUUGAGAGCAGUCUCCAUCCGUUCGUGACAGAAUGUGGUGAUGGUGACAAGGGUGGCAAUGAUGGUAGUUCUUGAAAUGAAAUGAAAAGUCUUGAUUGGGGCGGGAACAACGACAAUGAUCACGACAAUCAGCUGAAAAGAUAAAUAACAAGGUCGUUGUUUUCAGAUUACCUACUUCCGUGCAUAUUUUAGUGGGGACUAUUUUUGUAUGAAUAGUGGGUUGAGGGUGCGGUAGUGACAGAGAAAAUAAUAGAAGUUGUUCAUAAUUUUUUGUAACUAAAAAUGUUUUGCCACAUUUUUGCAUUGCCAUGUCACAACAGACUUAUGGUUGGACAUAUUAGGAUGAUGAGUAGAAGUACAGCAGUAGUGAUUAACAAUGUGCAUUGAUGAUUACUUGUAGUCUACAAUGUAGAGAUCAUACUAACUAGAAACCCCACCCCCCACCACCAACCACCCUCUGCCCUGUAAUGAAUGUUACUAUGGUUAUACUGUAUAUUAUUUCAGUGUCAGUAAUGACUAGUUUUGGAAACAUUGGAAACAUGGAAAAGACGGGAUUUUUUUUACUAUAUUUUGACUCACAAUUACGUUAGUGUUUUGUUGAUCAAUUCAUUAUGGUUGGUGAUAGGGCAGGGCCAUUCAGUGCCCUUGGAAGUGGGAGGUGCUCAAAGUUAAAAGGGGGCCCAUGGAACAACAGUUUGAAACACCUGACAAACCGACUUUCCUAUAUAACUGCUAAUCUACUUUGUACAGUAUAUGGCUGAAAUGAUGUGCUUUCUCUGCCCCAAUUACUUUGUGAUAAGAUUGUUUUUAUGUUGUAAUGUGAGAAACUAAACAAUUAAGCACCUUCAGUAGUACAAAACAAUAGUUGCAAAAAUAUCUCAACAUUACAUUCAAAAUACUCCUGAUCUAACAUUUUCCUCACAAACACAUACAUUAACAAUGAGACACACGAUGAAGAAAAUCUUAACAUUAGAUGUUCUGCCUCGCUCUCUCCAACUAGUCUAGUAAUUAUAACUCGUCUCACUAAAUUUCAAUUUAAGUUAGCUCACACUAUAACACAAUAAUAAUAACAAUAAAUCUGGAUGAGUGUCAGACAAACUUAAAGUACAUAUGGCAGCUACAGGACAUGUCAAGGCACAACUAUGUGAAUCAUGUAAACCAGGGUAGCAAGGUCAUUUUAUUAAUAUAAAUUAUUAUUUUGUCAGGCGGCACGGUGGUCAACUCAUUAGCACAUCUGCCUCACAGUUCUGAGGACCGGGGUUCAAAUCCCGGUCCCGCCUGUGUGGAGUUUGCAUGUUCUCCCCAUGCCUGCGUGUGUUUUCUCCGGAUACUCUGGUUUCCUCCCUCAUCCCAAAAACAUGCGUGGUAAGUUAAUUGAAGACUCUAAAUUGCCCGUAGGUGUGAAUGUGAGUGCGAAGGGUUGUUUAUUUGUAUGUGCCCUGCAAUUGGCUGGCGACUAGUUCAGGGUUUACCUUGCCUUUCGCCCAAAGAUAGCUUGGAUAAGCUCAGCACGCCCGUGACCCUAGUGAGGAUAAGCGGUACAGAAAAAGGAUGGAUGGAUUAUUUUGUCAAAUUUUGUCUAAAGGUCAGAGAUAAGGUUUUAUAAAAAAAAUGCUACUUGGGCAUCAAGCACAGAAGAGCAGGUGCUCCAGCACCCACCACCCACUAUACGCCACUGCUUCAUAAUAAUUGUUUCUAAACGUUUAUACACCAUAAUACCGGUCCUAAUAAAUCGAACUCUAUUGGAAAAAAUAAAAAAUAAUGCAGUAUAUGGAAAAUUUAAAACAUGAUCCUAAUCCGGAAAUACAUUUGAUUUACAAGGCUGUCACUGGACAGUAACAAGAGUAUAUACCUUUUUACUGGGCAUCUUUUGAACUAUUUGUUAUGCCCAUCUGAACUCUGAGGGCCUGUACAGAGAUCCCAAAAAGCGAUCACUAAAUUCCGUGCUCACUAAAACAAACUUCAAUUUAAUUCAAUUCAAUUCAAAUCCUUUAUUUAACAAGAUUCACAUCAUUGAGAUGAAAAUCUCUUUUACAAGCGUGAUCUGGCCAUGCACUGCAGCAAAAACAGUUACAACACUGGUAAAUAACAUUCCAAGAGCCAAAGAAUGAACGUUCACAACAGGUUCAGACUUACAGGCAAGUUGUCAGACACAGUCUCAAUGUCUGAGAGAGCUGCUUUCGUAGGCUUUUUAAAAUAGUUUUAAAUUCUCCUUGUGCAACUAGUCCUAGCAAUUUGAAGUACUUUAGUAGGUCAUUCCAGACCAAAGGACCAGCAUAGUUAAAUGCCUUUUUCCCUAAUUUGGUUCACUUUCUGGGGAAACCAGCUGAAGGGCAUCUUUGGAUCGAAGGGCUUGCUGCUUCUGCUUGAUACGCAAAAAUGCGCUUAAAUAAGAGGGUACCAGACCAUUCAGAGCUUUGAGCAAAAGAGACAGAGCCAUCAUGUAAAUAUGAGUGUGGGAAGAGAUGAACAAUUUGCCGCAGCAUAAAGAGUGCAAUGAUGCACUCGAUUUUCACAUCUGGUUAUACAGCGUAAGGCUGAAUUAUACACAGUGUCCAGCUUUUUAAGGUACUGUUUAGUUACGUGCAUGUAGUGUACAUCAUCGUAACUAUUGGGUAGAUUUUGGUGCAAUUUGCAACAGGUGUAAAAGUGGUGGAGACUGUCCUAUUUUUAUCCUUAAGGUAUGUCCCAUUUUUUUGUGCUAAAGGGUGCUCUGAUGGUUUUCACCAGAUCGCCACAAGCUAAAAGAUGGUUUGAGGUGAUGGAAUUGGAAGUGUUCGUGGAAGAGACAAACUAAUCCUGAAUACUGUACUGCGUCACAGCUUUUGAAUCACACUCAGUUUGCACAUUUAAAAAAUGUUUCCUUGCGAUGUUUGAGGCAAGAACAAGUUUCAUAUGAGUGCAGUCUAUUGUUCCGAUAAUUUUGUGGAUGUCAUCAACCAUAUAAAAGCCAUGUUUUGUUCAAUUUAAUUUGUCCCAAGUGCAUCGGUAUUGGAUUUAUCUGCCCAUCCAACAUCGCAUUUAUAACUUGGGACAGCAAACUGGAAUAACUGCUCUGGGACAGGCCAGCGAUGAUUUCGACACAGUGCUGAAACAACCAACAGACAGGAUUUUUGUCCAAGGUUAUAUGGCUUGACUCCUUCUUGUGACUGGCUCCAAGCAGCCUUUAAAUCAUUCGGAAGCUCCAAAAUUCCAUUGGCAAAUAAACAAUAUGUAAUUUUUGUUACUAUCAUUUCAAAAAUGUUUACAUGAGUGGAAAACAUUUGUACUCCGCGGCCGGUUGCCUCCAAUCAGCAGUCAUCGUUAUUCACAAUG